AGCAGCCGCGGUAAUUCCAGCUUCAAUAGCGUAUAUUAAAGUUGUUGCAGUUAAAAAGCUCGUAGUUGAAUUUCGGGAUCAAUAUAUCGGUCGUGCCUUGGUACGUACUGGUAUCAUUGGUUUCUCCUUUCUGACGAACCAUGAUGUCAUUAAUUUGGUGUUAUGGGAAGUUAGGACUGUUACUUUGAAAAAAUUAGAGUGUUUAAAGCAGGCUUUAGCUUGAAUACAUUAGCAUGGAAUAAUGAAAUAGGACGUUCGAACCUAUUUUGUUGGUUUCUAGGAUCAACGUAAUGAUUAAUAGGGAUAGUUGGGGGCAUUAGUAUUCAAUUGUCAGAGGUGAAAUUCUUGGAUUUAUUGAAGACUAACUACUGCGAAAGCAUUUGCCAAGGAUGUUUUCAUUAAUCAAGAACGAAAGUUAGGGGAUCGAAGACGAUCAGAUACCGUCGUAGUCUUAACCAUAAACUAUGCCGACUAGGGAUCGGAUGAUGUUAAUUUUUUAAUGACUCAUUCGGCGCCUUAC
rnacentral:rRNA from 1 species